UGCCAGACGUUAUCAUGUAGCAUAUCCUACCUAUUGCAGUGCUAGGAGAAGGGCUGGGGGGAUUGUAAGGUGUCGGUGCUAGGGAAAAACUAAGAAACCGUACAUUACAAGGCGCAUUUUUCAUCUGAACCCCUUGCACUCUCUCGGUAUCAUUGUCGUUCUCAAAAAUAUCAUAUUCACUAGGUAUGUAUACCCAUAUCCAACUCCCUUUCGCAUCAGGUAAUAGAUAUGCCGCUCGUAAAAACGAAGGAAAAGACAACCAAAGACAAAAAAAAAAAAAAACAAAGGGCUAUACCAAGAAAACCCUUUCCGGCCACCAUGAGUAUAUAUAAUAACUAUUAACCAUGUUGUACAGCGAAACAGGCGGAUUGCUACAUGUUCAAGCAAAGCCAUCAUAGUAAAAUAAACAAUGAAAUUAAUAGAAUAACCAGCGGGGCUCAUACUGCAGCCACGGCAUAUCAGAGUAAAGUAGCCGUUACGUAGCGAAACAAGGCACGAUAAAAGUCAAUAAAAUCUGUCACCACUGGGAUGGAAACGGAACAGGAAAAUAAACCACCGAGCAAAGUCGCCAACCCAAGGCUGCAGGCCAGAGCAGAGAGUCCACCCGUGUAAAAAAAAAAAGGAAAGAGCGAGCGUUCGCCAAUAUUUCUUAUUGGGGCAGUUUGUAUACACCAUAGACACUAGAUUGAAAGUUGUUUAUGAUGUUGAUAAUUUGCAAGAUGGGAUGUGAGAGAGGAUGAGAAAACAAACAAAGAGAGAAAACAAAAAACGAAGGCCAGGCAAAAAUAAGAAGGGAAUCCCGUCAAUAACUCGUCAUAGAAUGUUCGUUGCAUGCAAACAAACUUGCAGGCGCUCCGUUUCAUUAAUUCAUUGAUUUUCGGAUUUUCGGAUUUUCGGAUCUUUUUUCGGCUGUUUUUCCGGCUUCUUUUGGGGUUAUCGAGAGUGGAGAGAUUCGCUCACUCAACUCACGCACUCUUCAUCGUUG
rnacentral:sRNA from 1 species